ACACUUUGAAUAUUCAUUUCAGCCAAGUAGUGGAGGGAUUUGCCGCACAACCUGACUCCUAAGCAAACCCACUCAUCUCCACCAUCUCUCUCUCUCUCUCUCUCUUUCUGAAUUGCUGCAUUUCCCUUUUCAUACUCAUAAAUUCAGGCCUUGUGAAAUGGUGAAAGCAAUGAAUUGGAUAGGAUGAGAUUUUUUGUAGCAAGGGUUGCAAGUUCGUGAAAGCAAUUGAAUUGGUGGCACCUCACAAGCAUUUUUGUUCAUAGUAACAUCUUCAUCCAGAAAGCUAUUAGACGGGUUAUGUAUAAAAUUUGGUGAAAGUAUACAAUAUGGCCUUGAAAAUUCGCUUAUUUGUUCUGUCUGAUGAUAUUAGUGUUAUUGACUAUGGUAAACCUAAGGGAUCUUGGUCUAGAAAAUGUUUCAGCAAUCGUGUCUUUUCUGUUUCGAAGUUCAAAACUUAUAGUUUCAAAUGUGGUCUACAACAUUCUGUAAGAUUCCCCAGAGGUGAGUUGAAUAAGGUGAAAUCCUUGCCAAAUUUGGUCAAUAAUAAUACAUCAUUGAAUUUUGAGGAGUUUGACAUUCAUCAUCUCCGCAUGAUGGUUAGAAAUGG